ACUAGGAACCUAAUCUUGACCUUUUAAAUAUUAGAUCUAAUGGUUAGGAUUUAGUCAACAAAAGAAACUGUGCAUCUAUUAUAUUUUUACUGUGCACUUAAAAAAAAUAUGCAAUUUAUGCAAAUUGAAAACCAACAAUGCAAAAUACUCAAGCAAAUCGAAAUUGUGCAUUUAUGCAAUUGAAACUGUGCAUCUAUGCAAUCGAAAUUGUGCAUCUGUAGUUUAAUCUCAGCC
rnacentral:lncRNA from 1 species